AGAGUUUGAUCAUGGCUCAGAGCGAACGCUGGCGGCAUGCUUAACACAUGCAAGUCGCACGGUCCGGGGUGACCCGGGCAGUGGCGGACGGGUGAGGAACGCGUAGGAAUCUGUCCUGGAGUGGGGGAUAACCGCGGGAAACUGUGGCUAAUACCGCAUGGGGCCUGAGGGUCAAAGGCCGUGAGGCCGCUUUGGGGGGA
rnacentral:rRNA from 1 species